rnacentral:lncRNA from 1 species
AGAGCUUCUAAUUGGGGCAAAGAACCGAUGAUUGUUACAUCAUUCCAGUCAAGACUGCAGUUUUCCAGUGACAGCUUCUUCAGAGAUACCGGAAAUGCACACUUGAGCCGAUCUGCAUUGCAUGAGGAUUGGUUAGGAAAGGUGGAAACUACUAGCUUUAGUGAUUGAAGUUUAUGUAAGCUGUCAAGAUUGUGGAGAUGGUCGAACAAGCAAUCAUCAUAUCCCUCCAACUCAUCUUCGUAGAUUAGAUGCAAUUUGUUGGUGUUGGGAAUUCUCUUACACACCUCCUCACUCAACCUCAAAUUUACUGCUUUUAUCAGUGUCUGUAAGUUUCCCAUGACAACACAGUCAUUUGGAGAAGGAGGAGGAUGGGGAAGAUUAAUCCGUGUGCACUCCACAUGCCUAAGUUGUGACAAGCUCCAAAUUUCAAUUGGUGCAACGACAAGUCUCGCAUGAAUUGACAAUGUUUGCAGGUUCCAAAUGAAGGAUAUUGAAGAAGGAAGCCUUACCAAGAUGAGGAAGUACGAAGGUUGGAAAGUAAGGCACCGCAGGUUCAAGUUCUGAAUUAUAUCCUCCGCGGAACAGUCGCUAGCCAUAGUCAAAACCCUCAACAACUUAAACACAACCGGCAGCUUCGACCCUCUGCACACCAGAGAACGAAGAAGCUGCGCUGACAUCAGAGCAUCAGACAUCUCAUGAACAUCUUCACUCUUGAUGAAGUCAUGACACAUGAACCGACGCUCCUUACUCAUGUUGUCGAGUGCCCUCUUGGCAUAGAAGAACCUGCCUUUCUCAGAGACUUUCAAGCACAGAUCUCUUAUCAGAUCGUGAAGUCGACAAGACCUAAUCUUCCCAUUAUAUCGAUAUCUGCCAACAAGAACAAGAUUCCUGUCAACUAAGUCAUUCAAGUACCCCUCUGCAAUCUCUUCUAACAUUUGGGCUCUCUUCGGUUUGAUAAAUCCUUCAGCAACCCAAAGUUUGAUGAUUCGUGAUGCACGAAUCUCACGGUCCUCCUCAAAAAUUCCCAUAUAAAGAAAACAUGGUUUCAGAUGAGGGGGCAAGUGAUUAUAGCUUAAAGAUAACACAUCUAAGAUCUCUUGCUUCUCUAUUGAAUUGGGGAUUGAUUUUAUAUUCUUGGCAACAUCCUCCCAGAAUCCUACAGUCCUAGGCGAUUUGAGAAGAAACCCUCCAAUCACAACAAUUGACAAGGGUAGUCCUCUGCACAAUCUAACAAUCUCAUUUCCCACACUUUCUAGUUGAGGAUAAGGGCAAUGCUCUUGCUGGAAAGCGUUUCUGCAAAACAACACCCAACUUUGAUCCUUUUUUAAAGGUUUCAUGGUGAAGCAAGAACUAGAGCUACAAUCACUAGCCACAUCCGACAACCUAGUAGUUAAAACGAUCCGACUUCCAUUCCCAUUAUCAGGAAAGUAACGCUUCACCUCAUCCCAAGCUUCGACACUCCAUAUAUCAUCUAAUACAAUCAGAUAUCUUCUUCCCCAUAAAGUUUGAUGCAACUCUACCUCUAAAUCAUUCCCACUUCCACUUUGCCCUAUGCUAGAGAGAAGUUUUGAAAAGAUUUCUUGUGCACUGUAUUGUUGAGAUACAGUAGCCCAAGCACGAAUGUCAAAGUGUCUCUGGAUGAGUGAAUUUUCAUAAACAUUUAGAGCAAGCGUGGUCUUACCCGUGCCGCCCAUCCCCACAAUCGAGAUGAUGUGCUGCUUGGGUUGAUGUAUGGUGAGCUUGUCCAUGAUGUGGAUCACGUCGUCUUCGAGUCCCACCGGAGAAGCCUUUCCGGUGGUGGUGGUGAGAGGUUGUUUCUCCUCCACAACAUCCACGUCACCAUGUGCAGCUUGCUCCUCUCUCGCUCGCCAUUUCUCCUUAAGCUCAGCACCCUUUUUCAUGAUACCAUCCAUUUCUUCAAUUAUUUGUUGCAGAUCCGACAACGAGCAUUUAUGACUGGGUCGAUUUCUCCGUUGCCAGCGCCGCAGCAUGAAGUUGGUCCGUGCUUGCUUCUUCUCAGCAUGAAUUUGAUCGACAAUGUGUGAUUCAAUCACAUCUUCAGCUGCGUGAGCUGCAGAUGCGAUUUGACUCUCCAGAUCUGAUGCUUCUUUGCUACCUCCAUCCAUAUUAGUGUUGGUAAUCAAGUCGAGCAAGCCAUCAGCCUUUUCCCCAAUGGAUUCAAUCUGUUUCUUGUCGAAUACAGUUGAAAGGCGAGGAUGGCUCAUCAUCUGCUCAAUAUUGUUCAUCAAUGAAACCAGAGCUGCAUAAGCUGUCAUCUCAAAUCCUUCGAUUAAGCAGCAGACUUGUAAUUUGAAAUUGGAUGAAUCUGAACGAUGGGUUUGCAGUAUGCUAGUUGCGCCAUAGAUUUUGACGGAGUCUGCNNNNNNNNNNNNNNNNNNNNNNNNNNNNNNNNNNNNNNNNNNNNNNNNNNNNNNNNNNNNNNNNNNNNNNNNNNNNNNNNNNNNNNNNNNNNNNNNNNNNNNNNNNNNNNNNNNNNNNNNNNNNNNNNNNNNNNNNNNNNNACGCUUCACCUCAUCCCAAGCAUCGACACUCCAUAUGUCAUCUAAUACAAUCAGAUAUCUUCUACCACAUAAAGUCUGAUGCAACUUUAGCCCUAAAUCAUUUCCACUUCCACUUUGGCCUAUGCUAGAGAGAAGUUUUGAAAAGAUUUCUUGUGCACUGUAUUGUUGAGAUACAGUAGCCCAAGCUCGAAUGUCAAAGUAUCUCUGGAUGAGUGAAUUUUCAUAAACAUUUAGAGCAAGCGUGGUCUUACCCGUGCCGCCCAUCCCCACAAUCGAGACGAUGUGCUGCUUGGGCUGAUGUAUGGUGAGCUUGUCCAUGAUGUGGAUCACGUCGUCUUCGAGUCCCACCGGAGAAGCCUUUCCGGUGGUGGUGGUGAGAGGUUGUUUCUCCUCCACAACAUCCUUGUCACCAUGUGUAGCUUGCUCCUCUCUCACUCGCCAUUUCUCCUUAAGCUCAGCACCCUUUUUCAUGAUACCAUCCAUUUCUUCAAUUAUUUGUUGCAGAUCCGACAACGAGCAUCCAUGACUGGAUCCAGCAUGAAUUUGAUCGACAAUGUGUGAUUCAAUAACAUCUUCAGCUGCGUGAGCUGCAGAUGCGAUUUGACUCUCCAGAUCUGAUGCUUCUCUGCUACCUCCAUCAAUAUUAGUGUUGGUUAUCAAGUUGAGCAAGCCAUCAGCCUUCUCCCCAAUGGAUUCAAUCUGUUUCUUGUCGAAUACAGUUGAAAGGCGAGGAUGGCUCAUCAUCUGCUCAAUGAUGUUCAUCACAGAAACCAGAGCUGCAUAAGCUGCCAUCUCAAAUCAAAGUCUAAUUUUGUUGAAAUUUGAGGAAUCUGAACGACGAUUGACGUAAUCUGCUAAGAAAUAAGUAAUCAAGUUGUUUUAUUUUCCAUUAGCUGUGAUCCACAACAAUCUCAUUAUUAAAGUUCUUUUAGCACUAUCUCAUUAUUAAAGUUUCUUUUCCUUUUCUUAAAAAAAAAAAAGUUUCUUUUCCUUCACUAAAAAAUCAAUAUAUUAUGUGCUCCACAAUCUCUUUAUUGAUACUGAAUCAUCCUUUUAAAUAUCAUUUUUAGUUUCCUUAUUUUCUAUAAAAUCAAAAAUAAGAUCCAAUUUAUCAUUUCGUCAAUUCACAAAAAUAUAUCAUAACCUAUUUUUAUUAACAAUUUGACUAAUUUGUGUACCCUAAAUUGGACUAAUUUAAUUAACUUGAUCACCUAGUCUUCUAAAAUGGUAGCUAGAAAUGCUUGUGGAUCAAGUUGUAAGCUUGCUGUCAUUUUCAUAGAGUAUUUCAUCUCUGUUGUUGUGUUUCGCGUUGCUUGUGCUCAGGAUGAUGCUACGAGAUCUAUGAUAGAUCUAUGGUACUGAAAUAAAUGCAAAAAACUUAAAAUUUCCAUGGUUCGGUUGUGAUCUUUUAGCUACAAGAUUGUAAGUGGAAGUUUUUCUGUAUUGAUUUAUUGCAUCAACUUGCUUUAAUCUCACAAACUAUAUGUUUUGUGAUGAAUCUCACCCUAGAAAUAUCUCAAAUGAAUGUUGUUGUUAUUAUUAUUCAGUAUAAAUCGUGUGAAGCUUAGAACUAAAGUUGCUAGAAUUGAAAGUGUUGUUUGAAGUCGGAGGGGUUUAGUUGCAAAGUCUGAAUAGCGGAGGGACUUAGUUUGCAAAUUAGAAUAGUUGGCAGAUCUAAUCUGGUCCGUUGGUGCAGAUCGUGCGGUUGGGAUUUAAUCUUUGUUUUCAGUUAGUUAUAACUAACUGAACGGGAGUCUUCGUCUUCCUCAACUCAGCUCCUGCAACUAGUUCAAGAAAAAUACACAGAGAGGAAAGAAUUGUGAGAGGAUUGAGAGAUUAUCUUUCAGAGUUAGAUUUGAUUUUCGAUGUCUUUCUUUUCGAUUCAAAGUUAUAGUCUCUGUGAUUCUAAGUUUGUUUGGUGAAUAAAAGUAGAUCGAUUUCCUUGGCCCGUGGAUGUAGGUUGAAAAACCGAACCACGUAAUUGUUGUGUUCUUUUGAUUUUUUUGUUACUUUUCUGUUGAUUUCACUAACAAAUGCCAUUCUAAUUCUAGAAAUAACAUUAUUUACCUGGAAAGUUGUUUUCAAGAUAUGGAUGCUAUCAGGAUUUAUUUAUUUAGUAAUUUAUUUUACUGAUAUGUAGCCAUUUGAAAUCAGAUUUAGUGUCCGUCAUUCUUCUGGUUCCCCAACAGUUUCUUCUCUUUGUGAAUCAAGAUGUGUGAUUUAUGAAGAAAAAAAAAACACCUACGUUUGUGUUGCUUUCGAAGAAGAACGUAAUGGCCACAACUUCAAGGAGGGAAUGUUGGGAGAUGAUUUUUUGGGGAACAAUUGUAAGAGAAUGUUGGUGUGAAAGAAAGGAGGGAUUUUUGAUGAACUUAUGCGAAAGAAAGAAAUGCUAACUUAUUUUGAUUAGCUUAGCGGAAGAAAGCCAUUCAUACCAAAUAUGAAAUCAAACACAGCAAAGUUUACAAUUUCAUUUCCUUCACAACAAUCAGAGAUAAUCUAACGGCUUUACAUGAAGAUAUCUCGAGGCUGCAGUUAAUGUUAGAAAUGAAAUCCUUAUUUUUUCACUCAGCCGGGUAAGUGUCUCCUUCGCUGAUGAUAUUUGAACUUGAAGGCCCUCAUUUCCUAGACUCUCUUCUUCUUCCUUUAUUUUCAUCGCCGAAACGUCAGCAGACUCACUGCAUCCAUCCACAAGUGUCGUAAUUUCCCCAAUAUUCAAACGGACCUCUUCUUCCAAGUGCAUCAAUACUUCUUCAUCUCUAAGCUUCCGAUUGUCAAUAUCUUUCCUUGAUGAUAUUUGAACUUCAAGGCCCUCAUUUCCUACACUCUCUUCUUCUUCCUUUAUUUUCAUCGCCGAAAUUUCAGCAGACUCACUGCAUCCAUCCACACUAAUAACUUCAAGUGUCAGAAUUUCCCCAAUAUCCAAAGGGAUCUCUUCCAAGUGCAUCAAUCCUUCAAGCCUAAGCUUCUUCAAAACUGGGAAAUGGGAGCUCUCUGCAUCCCAACAUCUCAGAUCACAAUUGAUAAUGCUCAAGAAUCUAAGGCGGAGAAACUCCCCGUUAACCGAACUCCACUUCUGUCCCUUGACGGAAUCAUCUAGCUUGAGAGCUUCUAAAUGGGGCAAUGAACCGAUGAUUGUCAGAUCAUUCCAGACAAGACUGCAGUUUGUGAGUGACAGCUUCUUCAGAGAUACCGGAAAUGCACACUUGAGCUGAUCUGCAUUGCAUGAGGAGUUAGCAAAGGUGGAAACUAGCUUUAGUGAUUGAAGUUUAUGUAGGCUGCCAAUAUUGUGGAGAUGGUCGAACAAGCCAUCAUCA